GACGUAGGGCGCGAGCGUUGUCCGGAAUUAUUGGGCGUAAAGAGCUCGUAGGCGGCUUGUCACGUCGUUCGUGAAAACCUGCAGCUUAACUGUGGGCGUGCGGUCGAUACGGGCAUCACUGGAGUUCGGCAGGGGAGACUGGAAUUCCUGGUGUAGCGGUGAAAUGCGCAGAUAUCAGGAGGAACACCGGUGGCGAAGGCGGGUCUCUGGGCCGAUACUGACGCUGAGGAGCGAAAGCGUGGGGAGCGAACAGG
rnacentral:rRNA from 1 species